rnacentral:rRNA from 1 species
AAAGUCGGCCAUAGACGGUGAAAGCCCGGUACAUGACUCCCUUACGAAGCCUAGUGGUAUCCUGAGUAGCGCGGGGCACGAGAAAUCUUGCGUGAAUUAGCGGGGCCCAUCCCGUAAGGCUAAAUACUCCCGAGAGACCGAUAGCGAACCAGUACCGUGAGGGAAAGGUGAAAAGAACCCCGAGCAGGGGAGUGAAAUAGACCCUGAACCCGUCUGCCUACAAGCGGUCGGAGCGUCGUAAUGACGUGACGGCGUGCCUUUUGCAUAAUGAACCUACGAGUUACCUUCCCCGGCAAGGUUAAGUUCUUGAGGAACGGAGCCGAAGCGAAAGCGAGUCUGAACAGGGCGCCAAGUCGGGGGGGGUAGACGCGAAACCGAGUGAUCUACCCUUGGCCAGGUUGAAGGUUGGGUAACACCAACUGGAGGACCGGAUGGGUAAGCGUUGAAAAGCUUUCCAAUGAGCUGAGGGUAGGGGUGAAAGGCUAAUCAAACUCGGAGAUAGCUCGUACUCCCCGAAAUGCAUUUAGGUGCAGCCUCUUUAUAGUAUAUCGUGAGGUAGAGCGACUGAUUGGAUGCGAGGGCUUCACCGCCUAUCAAGUCCAGAUAAACUCCGAAUGCGCGAUAUAUAUUUACAGGGAGUGAGGGCGCGGGUGCUAAGGUCCGUGUCCGAGAGGAGAAGAAUCCAGACCACCGGCUAAGGCCCCCAAAUGAUCGUUAAGUUGAACUAACGAGGUCGGAUCGCAGAGACAGCUAGGAUGUUGGCUUGGAAGCAGCCAUUCAUUUAAAGAGUGCGUAACAGCUCACUAGUCGAGCGAUCUGGCGUGGAUAAUAAUCGGGCAUAAACGAUCUGCCGAAGCCGUGGAUGUCGCAAGACAUGGUAGGGGAGCAUUCCAUGCCGCGUCGAAGAUGAGGGAUGACCCUUGUUGGAGCGCAUGGAAAAGCAAAUGUAGGUAUGAGUAACGAUAAGGGGGGCGAGAAACCCCCCCGCCGAAAGACCAAGGUUUCCUGAUCAACGCUAAUCGGAUCAGGGUGAGUCGGGACCUAAGGCAAAGCCGAACGGCGCCGCCGAUGGAAGAAUGGGUUAAUAUUCCCAUACUGCCUCAUGGAGUGACGUGGAGACGGAGAAGUGACAGUCCUGCCGGCUGACGGAAUAGCCGGUUGAAGGGUGUAGAUAUUGAUUCCCGUAGGCAAAUCCGCGGGGAGAGUCGAACCUGAGAGUAUACGGAGCGCUUGCGCAACGUAAUAUGGACGUAACCAUGCUCCCGAGAAAAUCCGCUAAACUUAUCCAUGCGGCACCCGUACCGUAAACGGACACACGUGGUCGGGUUGAGAAUACUGAGGCGCUCGAGUGAUUCACGGUUAAGGAACUAGGCAAAUUGACCCUGUAACUUCGGGAUAAAGGGUCCUCGUCGUAAGGCGAGGCGCAGAGAAUAGGUCCAGGCAACUGUUUAACAAAAACACAUGGCUGUGCUAAAUGGAAACAUGAUGUAUACAGCCUGACACCUGCCCGGUGCCGGAAGGUUAAGAGGAGAUGUCAUCCGCGAGGAGAAGCGUUGAAUUGAAGCCCCGGUAAACGGCGGCCGUAACUAUAACGGUCCUAAGGUAGCGAAAUUCCUUGUCGGGUAAGUUC